UACGGAGGGUGCAAGCGUUAUCCGGAUUCACUGGGUUUAAAGGGUGCGUAGGUGGGCUGGUAAGUCAGUGGUGAAAUCUCCGAGCUUAACUCGGAAACUGCCAUUGAUACUAUCAGUCUUGAAUUUUCUGGAGGUAAGCGGAAUAUGUCAUGUAGCGGUGAAAUGCUUAGAUAUGACAUAGAACACCCAUUGCGAAGGCAGCUUACUACGGGAUAAUUGACACUGAGGCACGAAGGCCAGGGGAGCAAACGGGG
rnacentral:rRNA from 1 species